GGUCAAAACGAGGGUCAUCGAGGAUACGGAAGACCCUGUCUUUAACGAGGUGUUGACCGUCGAAGGGUGGAAGCAGGGGGAACCCUUGGUGUUGUCGGUGUUU
rnacentral:SRP_RNA from 14 species